GGGGUAUAAUUGUUUCCUUUUUGAAGAGAUGAAACAAAUCACACAAAGAAGCUAAAAAAAUUGAAUAAUCUCAAUGGUGAGUCGUUUACCUAGAUAUUUCAAAAAUGAAUAUCAACUUCUUGGUAUAUAAACUCUACAAUGGGUAAUGCUCGAGGGAAUUGCUUCAUCUCGUCCGUCAUUUUCAUUCCCAGCUCUCGUUACAACACCAAUUUUCUCAAAUGCAGUUGCAAUGACAAUACAUGCUUCAAAAAUUCCAUUCAAGUUUUCAGGAGUCGUCCUUUGCCAACGUUCUCAUCAAGCACUAGUUCGGAAAUUAUUACCCACUUAUAGCUUCAUUUUCGUAUAAUUGAAAAG
rnacentral:misc_RNA from 1 species